rnacentral:rRNA from 1 species
AGUGAACGCUGGCGGUAGGCCUAACACAUGCAAGUCGAACGGCAGCACAGGAGAGCUUGCUCUCUGGGUGGCGAGUGGCGGACGGGUGAGGAAUACAUCGGAAUCUACUCUGUCGUGGGGGAUAACGAAGGGAAACUCACGCUAAUACCGCAUACGAACUACGGGUGAAAGCAGGGGACCUUCAGGCCUUGCGCGAUUGAAUGAUCCGAUGUCGGAUUAGCUAGUUGGCGGGGUAAAGGCCCACCAAGGCGACGAUCCGUAGCUGGUCUGAGAGGAUGAUCAGCCACACUGGAACUGAGACACGGUCCAGACUCCUACGGGAGGCAGCAGUGGGGAAUAUUGGACAAUGGGCGCAAGCCUGAUCCAGCCAUACCGCGUGGGUGAAGAAGGCCUUCGGGUUGUAAAGCCCUUUUGUUGGGAAAGAAAUCCAGCUGGCUAAUACCCGGUUGGGAUGACGGUACCCAAAGAAUAAGCACCGGCUAACUUCGUGCCAGCCGCCGCCGUAA